rnacentral:rRNA from 1 species
AUUGAACGCUGGCGGCAGGCCUAACACAUGCAAGUCGAACGAGUGGCGGACGGGUGAGUAAUGUCUGGGAAUCUGCCUGAUGGCGGGGGAUAACUACUGGCAACGGUAGCUCAUACCGCAUACCAUCGGAUGAGCCCAGAUGGGAUUAGCUCGUAGGUGAGGUAACGGCUCACCUAGGCGACGAUCCCUAGCUGGUCUGAGAGGAUGAUCAGCCACAAUGGGAAUGAGACACGGGCCAGACUCCUACGGGAGGCAGCAGUGGGGAAUAUUGCACAAUGGGCGCAAGCCGGAUGCAGCCAUGCCGCGUGUAUGAAGAAGGCCUUCGGGUUGUAAAGUACUUUCAGUGGGGAGGCGUUACUGACAGAAGAAGCACCGGCUAACGCCGUGCCAGCAGCCGCGGUAAUUC